UGGGGAAUAUUGCACAAUGGGCGCAAGCCUGAUGCAGCCAUGCCGCGUGUAUGAAGAAGGCCUUCGGGUUGUAAAGUACUUUCAGCGGGGAGGAAGGUGUUGAGGUUAAUAACCUCAGCAAUUGACGUUACCCGCAGAAGAAGCACCGGCUAACUCCGUGCCAGCAGCCGCGGUAAUACGGAGGGUGCAAGCGUUAAUCGGAAUUACUGGGCGUAAAGCGCACGCAGGCGGUCUGUCAAGUCGGAUGUGAAAUCCCCGGGCUCAACCUGGGAACUGCAUUCGAAACUGGCAGGCUAGAGUCUUGUAGAGGGGGGUAGAAUUCCAGGUGUAGCGGUGAAAUGCGUAGAGAUCUGGAGGAAUACCGGUGCCGAAGGCGGCCCCCUGGACAAAGACUGACGCUCAGGUGCGAAAGCGUGGGGAGCAAACA
rnacentral:rRNA from 1 species